rnacentral:rRNA from 1 species
AUUGAACGCUGGCGGCAGGCUUAACACAUGCAAGUCGAACGGAAACAGGCCGCUUGUUCCUGGAUUGAGGGGCGCGCGGGUGUGAUAUGCCUAGGAGUAUGCCUGGGUGUGGGGGAUAACGUCUGGAACUGGGCGCUAAUACCGCAUACGCUGAGAGGGAGCUAGUGGGGGCUCUUCGGAACUUUUGGUCUCGGGUGAGUGUAGGUCCGAUUAGCUAGUUGGUGGGGUAAAGGCCUACCAAGGCGACGAUCCGUAGCUGGGCUGAGAGGAUGAGCAGCCACACUGGAACUGAGACACGGACCAGACUCCUACGGGAGGCAGCAGUGGGGAAUAUUGGACAAUGGGCGAAAGCCUGAUCCAGCCAUGCCGCGUGUGUGAAGAAGGUCUUCGGAUUGUAAAGCACUUUUAGAUGGGAGGAAAAGCAUUAGGUUAAUACCUGGCGGUUUUGACGGUACCGACAGAAUAAGCACCGGCUAACUACGUG